rnacentral:rRNA from 1 species
GACGAACGCUGGCGGCGUGCUUAACACAUGCAAGUCGGACGGAAAGGCCCUGCUUUUGUGGGGUGCUCGAGUGGCGAACGGGUGAGUAACACGUGAGUAACCUGCCCUUGACUUUGGGAUAACUUCAGGAAACUGGGGCUAAUACCGGAUAGGAGCUCCUGCUGCAUGGUGGGGGUUGGAAAGUUUCGGCGGUUGGGGAUGGACUCGCGGCUUAUCAGCUUGUUGGUGGGGUAGUGGCUUACCAAGGCUUUGACGGGUAGCCGGCCUGAGAGGGUGACCGGCCACAUUGGGACUGAGAUACGGCCCAGACUCCUACGGGAGGCAGCAGUGGGGAAUAUUGCACAAUGGGCGGAAGCCUGAUGCAGCAACGCCGCGUGCGGGAUGACGGCCUUCGGGUUGUAAACCGCUUUCGCCUGUUACGAAGCGUGAGUGACGGUAAUGGGUAAAGAAGCACCGGCUAACUACGUG